rnacentral:rRNA from 1 species
GGCCGCAGUAAUCUGACUGUGCUAAGGUAGCAUAAUCAUUUGCCUUUUAAUUUUAGGCUAGAAUGAACGAUUUGACAAAGGGAAAGCUGUCUUAUUGNGGUAUUUNAAACUUUAUAUAAAGGUAAAAAAGCCUUUAUUUCUCAAAAAGACGAUAAGACCCUAAAAUCUAUUUUAAAUAUAUAACUACUANCCUUAUAUAAUUAUACAAAAAUAUAACUUAAAAUAUACUGGGGCGGUAAGAUUUAUGUAAACAAACUAAUUUUAAACACUUUUAGUGAUUAUAGAUCAACCUUUAAAGAAUAUAAUAAGAUACUUUAGGGAUAACAGCACAAUCUAUUCUUAGAGUUCUUAUCGACGAAUAGGCUUGUGACCUCGAUGUUGAAUUGAACUAAGCUUGAUUUAGAAGAUUAAAUUAUAGAAAGUCUGUUCGACUUUUAAUGGUUCACAUGAUUUGAGUUCAGACCGGU